rnacentral:lncRNA from 1 species
AAAGCGAUGAAGUAGCUCGAACAAUAGAGAGGGGAGUGCUUUCGUCGAAUCGAUAACAGGAUGGUCAGAUCAUACUAUCAUCCCUCGACGCAACGGAAAGAGUUACUAGUGGAAGCCGAUCCAUAUACAUCUUUAUGAGUCAAAGUGGACUAGCCAUAUUCUACGAAUUGGGCUAUUUCUCCACCCGGAUGGAGCUUAUUUUCUGGCACGUCCUUAUACUCGGAAAGCUUUCGCAAUAUUCGUUUUGGGAGGCAGAAGGCUUGCAAUGUCAUUCCAUCAGAGCUCGGCGAUCAAGAACAGUUACGUAAUGAAUUCAAAUCCAUCUCUUUCUCGGUGCAAAGGAAAGUCAAUUUAUAGUGCUCCAGAUAGGAAUGGUCUUUCCCAACUGUAGUAAUGGUCGGCGACUCGAGAAGAGAUUCUACCGUUCCGGCAGCUCGUUAGAAUCCACGGAUUUCAAUCCAUUCUAUUAGAUUUCCACACGGAAACUUUCUUUCAAAACUCUCUUUCUUUCUACGUAGCAAAGCUAUCAAGGAAGAAUGCAUUCGUUUCAAACGAUUCUUUUACCCGGCGGUGCGUAACUUCUUCACUUCGUUUAUUUCUAUAACCUAAUGUCCUUAUAUUCAAUCAAUUGAGACUUUGUAGCCCCGCUUUGUGGUUUACUGCACCCCGCCUCCGCGCGGGCACCUCUUCUUCCGAGCGCCCUUACCUUCGUCGCCUUUUGCGAGUCAAGCUACUUAAUUUCAGAACUUGUUUUUGUAAUUCUGGGUCCCAGCAUUUCAGCACUUUUUGUGGCGGGCCCUGCGGCCGUAAAGAAAGGAGCCAAAAGCACUCGAGCUUUGCGAGAAGGAUGUUUGGUCUUAGUAAGAUUUUACCAUUCUGGGGCCUUAAAAAGUGGAUUAUUCCACCCAGAAGAAAGAGAUUUCACCGCGUAAUGUCGAAUUGAUCCACUUUAGGAGAGUCAUAUUUUCUGGUACGUCCAUCUACUUAUAAGCGGCCGGCUAUGUUCUCUAAACUCAUCUA